rfam:Trichomonas vaginalis G3, whole genome shotgun sequence.
GUAGUCUGCCAUACGCAGGAAGACCCGCUGAACUGAAGCAUCUCAUUAAGCGGAGGAAAAGAAACUAACUAGGAUUCCCUUAGUAAAGGCGAUCGAAAAGGGAACAGCCCAACGUCUUAAUCCCGCAAGGGAAAUGUAGUCGGUUCACCUAUUGCACUGGUCUAAGUCAGAUGGAAUGCUGCGCGAUUCAGAGUAAAAGCCUCGUAUGACCAACCGCAAGCUUACGAUGGACCGGGGAGAGUCGGAUACUUUGAGAGUAGUGUCUUAAGGGGGUGGUAUGUCCCAUCCAAGGCUAAAUAACGUGAGGAGACCGAUAGAUUACAAGUAGUGUGAACGAAAGAUGAAAAGAACUCUAAAACAGAGGGUGAAAAGUUCCUGAACUUGCUUAGGGUUAAGGCUAUUUAUAGUACCCGUCUUGAAACACGGAUUAGGGAGUUUAUCUGUAGUGCGAGUCUUUGCACGUUAACUGUAAAGGCGUAGAGAAAGCAACUGGCGUUUGCAUGGCUACUGAGCAUUACUGAUAGGACCCGAAAGGUGGUGAACUUUGCCUGCACAGGUUGAAGUCAGGGGAAACUCUGAUGGAGGACCGUACGGGUUAUUGAUGUGCAAAUCAUUUUUCUGAUGUAUGUAAAGGUGCGAAAGACUCAUCGAACCACCUAAUAGCUGGUUUCCUCCGAAGUUUCCCUCAGGAUAGCUGUAAUGCAUUUAGUUAAGGGGAGUAGAGAUAUGGGUAGAGGUGCAGGGAGCCUUCGGGUUCUCAACUUAUUUCCAAACUUCGAACCUCCUUGUUAGGCAUUUACCUAACUGGAAAUGCUUAAAUGAAUUAGCGUUACAAGUGGGCUCUGACCGGUAAGCGGUCAUGGCGAAAUGGGAUGAACC